rnacentral:ribozyme from 1 species
UGCCCAGCAAUUCCUAUCUCUAUCUCUUCGCGGUACCGGCCGGAAACUAUGAGCAACCUUAGAAAAGAUCGGGUAACCAACCCCGGUGGGAACUUUGGUCGUAGGCUGACAGGGAAGG